rnacentral:rRNA from 1 species
UUUCCUACGGGAGGCAGCAGUGAGGAAUAUUGGUCAAUGGGCGAGAGCCUGAACCAGCCAAGUCGCGUGAGGGAGUACUGCCCUAUGGGUUGUAAACCUCUUUUGUCGGGGAGCAAAAGCCGGACGUGUCCGGCUGUGAGAGUACCCGAAGAAAAAGCAUCGGCUAACUCCGUGCCAGCAGCCGCGGUAAUACGGAGGAUGCGAGCGUUAUCCGGAUUUAUUGGGUUUAAAGGGUGCGUAGGCGGAAUGCCAAGUCAGCGGUAAAAUCGCGGGGCUCAACCUCGCUCCGCCGCUGAAACUGGCGU